rnacentral:rRNA from 1 species
GGGGAAUAUUGGACAAUGGGGGCAACCCUGAUCCAGCAAUGCCGCGUGGGUGAUGAAGGCCUUCGGGUUGUAAAGCCCUUUCGGCGGGGAAGAUGAUGACGGUACCCGCAGAAGAAGCCCCGGCUAACUUCGUGCCAGCAGCCGCGGUAAUACGAAGGGGGCUAGCGUUGCUCGGAAUCACUGGGCGUAAAGGGUGCGUAGGCGGGUCUUUAAGUCAGGGGUGAAAUCCUGGAGCUCAACUCCAGAACUGCCUUUGAUACUGAAGAUCUUGAGUUCGGGAGAGGUGAGUGGAACUGCGAGUGUAGAGGUGAAAUUCGUAGAUAUUCGCAAGAACACCAGUGGCGAAGGCGGCUCACUGGCCCGAUACUGACGCUGAGGCACGAAAGCGUGGGGAGCAAAC